UUUAUAUUAAUUAAAGGGAAAGGCUUAGUACCGUUUAUGGCACAAUUAAUAUCUUGGAUAUUUAUCGAG
rnacentral:tRNA from 1 species